rnacentral:rRNA from 1 species
AGCGGCGGACGGGUGAGUAACGCGUGGGUAACCUGCCUCAUACAGGGGGAUAACAGUUGGAAACGGCUGCUAAUACCGCAUAAGCGCACAGUACCGCAUGGUACGGUGUGAAAAACUCCGGUGGUAUGAGAUGGACCCGCGUCUGAUUAGCUAGUUGGUGGGGUAACGGCCUACCAAGGCGACGAUCAGUAGCCGGCCUGAGAGGGUGAACGGCCACAUUGGGACUGAGACACGGCCCAA